UUAAAAAAACUUACAUAAAUAUCUUUCCUUAGUGUGCUACUUGCUUCUAGAAUGUAGAUAAUAAUUUUUUACUUAAGAAAUUUCCAUUAUCUUCCCAAGUCCUGACAUACAUGUUGUCAGGCCUGUUUCAAGCAUUAUAGCUACUAUUUAUUGUUAGUGAAACAUACAAAAGUGAAAGCAUUUCUUUUACAUUUUAGAAUUUAUACAGCAUAUUUCUUUAUUCUUUAAACUCUCACAACUACUUUGUUAGGUAGGUUAUUUCUUUCAUACAAAAAAUAAAACCAAAGUCAGGGAGUCAUCAAUGUCAUUUUUAUUCAGUUCCAUUUCUAAUAGUUUGGCUGGACAUUAUUUCACAACUUCAUAAAUAUUUUAUGUGUCAUACAUUAAAAAGAUGAGACUUUAAAGUUACUAGGAGUAGAAUAAAGUGUUUCCUUCCAGAAAAUAUAAAAGCAUAUAUCCAGCACCAGAGCAGUGAUGAUAUACAUUUAUACAUGACGAUGAUGCUGUGAGGUAUCUUUCCAUAAGAGUGGUGAAGGAUGUGAACUGUCCCAGCCACAUUCUGUCCUCUGGUUCCAUUUGAAAUGCCUGCAGCUAUGAAUAGGCUGGUUGAGGUCAGAGACCUAAAGACCCAGCUUACAACUCUGGCCUUAAUGAAGGCCCCAUCCUCUUAACCACAUGGUCAGAUUUCUCUUCUAAAACAGCAAUUUGCUAAAAUGUUUACCAAAAAUCUAAAACUACUGCUUACUUUCAAAGUGACUAAGAUGUUUCAAGACAGUAGUUAAGUCAAGUCCUUAAAGUUUUACUCCUUAUAUUAUUAUAAUAUCAUCUUUGGUUGAAAUCAUUUUGGAGAAGUUAACUUGUGGCAAUUAACUUCAAAAAAAAAAAGGUGAUUAACCGCCUCUUGGUUACCAUGGAGCCAUUACAUUACAAAUAAAGCACAAAGAUUUUAGGCACUUGCAUGGAUCUCAACAUCUGUUCCAAAUGUACACUCUUCAAGUGAAGAGUCACAGUGUUUGGACACAUCUGAGACACACAACAUAGCCUUAAUCCCACACAUUGAUUUGUUAGUAUACCCUAGCAUGCUAUUUGUCUUGGCAACUUGUGAUUUCAAAAACUAACAGAAGAUGACUUAUAAGGAAACUUUUCCUUUUGUAUAUAGUUUGGAACGUCUGGUCUCAAAAAAGCAGAGACUUCUGGUUUCUGGAGAACAAACUGAAAUAUCCCAAGGGACUAUCUUAAUACUUACUGGAGCUCAACUCAGCCUCUAAAGAAGUAAUAGAGAUGAAAUACUUGGUGAUGUAGUUAAGUACUACCUGAGAGCUCUCGCCUUCCUUUCCUCCUUUUCUGUAAGUAUCUCAGCACCCUACGGAGUUCAGCAAAAGAAAGAGCUGUGACCUGGAAACAGUGUGAAUUACACAGUGAACCACAAAUAUUUGGAACCUGGAAUCAUAAAUCCAUAUGUUUGGAAAAUAAAAUAGAGCUAUUUUUAACUUAAGUGGUAGGUAUGCUUGGUGACAACAUGAAGGUAUUGUACAUGCCACACAGGAAUACUAAAAGUUCCAUGACACUGCUGUGGCAUGAUAAGCACGAAGGUAUAUUAUUCCAGUGGCACUCAGUUUCUCCCCAGUAAUCCCAUAUACGUAUACAUCAGUAUAUUUGCAUGAUUGGCUAAGGACAGCCCUGAUUAAUGGCUGCAUGAAGGAACAAUAAUUAGCAAUCAGAGCAAAUUAAAUUCCUGGCUGAUUCUAAACCCCUGAGUAAAAUGCAACCCUUGAGGAUGCUGUCACAUUCCUUCAUUUACUUGGCAUUAGGCCACCAGUCACCCUGAUUAAGACAGAGGUUUGUACUUAUAAAAAAAAGAUCGAUGUUUGGAAGAGAUAUUUGCCAUUUUUUGCUUGCCUAGCAUCCUAAUCACCUUUCUUCUGGGGGAACCCAGUUCAGGUGGACAGACAUGUGACCCCGGCCUGGUCACGUAGAACCCUCCCCACCCCACCCAAGGACUCAA